UACGAAGGGGGCUAGCGUUGCUCGGAAUCACUGGGCGUAAAGCGCACGUAGGCGGUUUGGUAAGUUGGAUGUGAAAACCCUGGGCUCAACCCUGGAAGUGCAUCCAAGACUGUCAAGCUCGAGUGUCGGAGGGGGUCGGAGAAUUCCCGGUGUAGAGGUGAAAUUCGUAGAUAUCGGGAGGAACAUCUGUGGCGAAGGCGCCGACCUGGACGACAACUGACGCUGAGGUGCGAAAGCAUGGGGAGCAAACAGG
rnacentral:rRNA from 1 species